AUUUAUAUAGUUUAAAAUAAAACCUUUCAUUUUCAAUGAAAAAAUAAAAUAUUUUUUAUAAAUA
rnacentral:tRNA from 1 species